rnacentral:rRNA from 19 species
ACACGACUCUCGGCAACGGAUAUCUAGGCUCUCGCAUCGAUGAAGAACGUAGCAAACUGCGAUACUUGGUGUGAAUUGCAGAAUCCCGUGAACCAUCGAGUCUUUGAACGCAAGUUGCGCCCGAAGCCAUUAGGCCGAGGGCACGUCUGCCUGGGCGUCACGC